CUCAUUUCUUCUCAGGGCGACGGAGCCCGCGCCGGGGGUGGCGGCAGGCGGCCCCGUAAACAGGCUCCUGCAAAAGGGGCACUGGGGAGAGCACACGAGGGCCUGGAGAACGCAGAGAAAGCUCCGACGUCUGCGCUCGGAAGAUGUUCCAGUGACCUGGAUGAGCAGGGACAGACACACAUCAGCAACAGCCUUUGAGCAGGCCGUGGGAUCCCAGAGCAGCUCAGCAGUGAUCCCAGCAGGAGCAGCCCCUGGCAGCCCAGCCCAGCCCGCCGUGCCUCGGAGCAGCUGCAGCGGAUGCAGUACAUCAGCCCCUGGGGCUCCAGGUACGGGUGCCAGCUCUCCCCCGGGCUGUACUUCUUGCCGUUGAAGUCGCAGAACGCCUCCGGCCCUGCAAGUCAACCAGGAGAAGCCAGCAUCCCCAUGAAUUAUGCUGCGGGUGAAGAAAUCGAGUUGCCUUGGUGUGACGCUCAGCUCCCGGCUCCCAUGCCAGUUGGCUGCUUCCUUCAAACAUUUAAUCACAAGUGGAGCCCUGGUUUGGGUCCAGCCCUCGAAAGCAGCCUGAUUCAUGUCUGCAGAGGGCCUGCUGGUAAAAUUAAAGCUGACUGGCAGUGCUGGGCAGCAGCAGACACUUGUUGGCACCUCAGCAGUGCUGUGCUUCUGGCAAGAGGUGCCAGCGUGCUUGGGCAAGAGCAAGAUGGGGAUGGAUGGAUGGAUGGAUGGAUGGAUGGAUGGAUGGAUGGAUGGAUGGAUGGAUGGAUGAGGCUUAAAAGCUGGAGGAGGCUCUGGACCAUUUUUUCCCAUGCCAGGCUAACAAUUUAACGUUCAGAGGUAAAACUUUGAUCAUCCAUCAUCACUUGGAUGGAGUGAAAAGCCAUUUGUGGCAGUCAAUGUCUCCCGUGCUGAUCAGCAAGGUGAUCUCACUUACAGCACCUUCAGCAGCAGCACAUUCAGAAAAGUGAUGUGGGUUUACUUCUCACUUCUCACUGGAUGCAGAGCAGUCAGGAAGCUGUGGGGUGGCCCCUUGUUGGUGGCUGGUGCCUGAAGCUGUUGAGGUGCAUCCUAAGGAGCCGUUCCCUCCUCGUGGUGUGAGAGGUGCAGCCAGGGGGGUUUCUCCACACCAUUCAGCUUGUCACCGUGGGCUGGUGUCUCUGAGGCACCUUGUGAAGAUGCUGCUCAGAGCUUCUGCACAGCCUCUGGUGAGGUUUCAGUUUCCUGCUAGCUGGCAUCCUUCCACAAUACCUGUCCUAAAUCUUUAAUGUCCCUUCCCAUCCGAGCCACGUGGGGUUCUGUGAUUCUGUCUCUGGGAGUUCUGAGCAGUUUGAUGGCUCAGGAAGAGCUUGUGGGGUCUUGCUCAUCUCCCUCACUGCCCUUCUCCCGUUCCAUCCCGAGGCUGAGGGGGAAGGCUGGUGCUGCAGCCCCAGGUGGCACCUUUGGAGCUGUCUCUGGAGCAGGGCGUGUCCGGGCUGGGCUCUCAGCUCCCACAGCCUUCCUGGAGGUCUCACACCUGCCAGCCAGUGCCCUGCUGGGCAGGAGGGAGGCAGCUCAUGCAAACCGGUUUUUAAGAGCAGCCAUAAAUAAAGUGCAAAGAGCACUGUCUGGUACACAGAGUCCAGGCGCUCCUGUGACAGCCUUGUAUUUAUGAAGGGCUUAAAAUGCAACUUUGCUGAGAAGGGACUGGCUAAAACACACGGGGCCCUUGACAUGUGGCAUCCUAAAGACUCUGCUCACAUCCAGAUCAAUUCCUGCACACUCGCCCCGCUCUGCUCUGCGCUGGAAAUGUCUUCUUGGCACUUUGGGAGCCCGGAGAACUCUGUAGCUCUGAAAAUGCAGCCUCAGGAUGCAUCUCUGAGCUCUCCAGAGUGGAGCAGCCAGGCAGACAGGGUCCUGCUUCCCCCCCCUCCUUCCCAAGGGAAUCCCUGUUCCUUCCCUCUGUUACCUCUAGCAGGGUGCAGCCCUCACCUCUCCUUUGCCAUGGCUAGCACUCACUUUCCAUCAUGGUCCUUCCCAUCCUGGAGCACCCUUCAUCCCUGCUGGAUCCAAACUUGUGGGACAGAGGGAUCCCAGGAACCCCCUUUUCUCCAGCAACCAUGUUAAAAAGAAAUGAAGCAGCAGCUUCCAAGCUCCUGGGGAGAACCUCUGCCCCGUGCUCUCCAGAGAUGCUGGUGUUCAAACGCCUCCAGCCAAAACAUCCUUGCGUUCAACCACUGCCCCUGGAUUUCUCAGAGUGCAGCACUUUCGUCCCAGCAACCUGUGCCUCUGAUAUUUCUUUUCAGCUGGAGUGCAAAUCCCCUAAAAUAGCCUGUUUCUGUGGGCAAAUUCUUCUUUUCUGACUUGCCUUCAGGCCCGAGCGUUUCUGCUUCUCACCUAUUUUUAGCCACGACACUGUAGGUCCCUUGGCUGAUGAGCCUGCUCGUAACUAAUUUAUUCCUGUCUCCACUCUCCCUGAGCACCAGCCCCGA